AAAAACAUUUCUUAUAAAAUUAUUAUAAGUAAAAUCUGCUCCAUGAUUAUAAAUAGCCGCAGAAUUUUAACUGUGCUAAGGUAGCAUAAUCAUUUACCUUUUAAUUAAAGGUUUGUAUGAAUGAUUACACAAUUAUAUUAUUUUUUUAUUAAUAACCAUUAAAUUUAAAUUAAAAAUAAAAAUGUUUUUAUUUCAAAAAAAGACGAUAAGACCCUAUUGAACUUUACUGAAGUUCAGCUGGGGAAGCUAAUUAAAUAUAAUUUUAAUUCUAUACACUAAAUAAAUUCCUAAUAAUAUUAUUUUUUAACAAGUUACCAUAGGGAUAACAGCGUAAUAUAAUUUUAAAGCUCAUAUUAAAAAUUAAGCUUACGACCUCGAUGUUGAAUU
rnacentral:rRNA from 1 species